UACGUAGGGGGCGAGCGUUGUCCGGAAUCAUUGGGCGUAAAGAGCGUGUAGGCGGCUUGGCAAGUCUGACGUGAAAGCCCGCGGCUCAACCGCGGAUUGUCGUUGGAAACUGCCUCGCUAGAGUCCGGAAGAGGAGAGCGGAAUUCCUGGUGUAGCGGUGGAAUGCGCAGAUAUCAGGAGGAACACCGGUGGCGAAGGCGGGUCUCUGGGCCGAUGACUGACGCUGGAGGAGCGAAAGCGUGGGGAGCGAACAGG
rnacentral:rRNA from 1 species